rnacentral:rRNA from 1 species
CUACGGGACGCUGCAGUCGAGAAUCUUCCGCAAUGGGCGCAAGCCUGACGGAGCAAUGCCGCGUGAGGGAUGACGGCCCUAGGGUUGUAAACCUCUGUCAGAAGGGACGAAGAACGUGACGGUACCUUCAGAGGAAGCCAUGGCUAACUACGUGCCAGCAGCCGCGGUAAUACGUAGAUGGCGAGCGUUAUUCGGAAUUACUGGGCGUAAAGGGUCCGUAGGGGGUCUGCCAAGUCUGAUGUGAAAUCCUGCGGCUCAACCGCGGAACUGCAUUGGAAACUGGCGGACUAGAGUGUGCGAGGGGUGAGCGGAAUUCCUGGUGUAGCGGUGGAAUGCGUAGAUAUCAGGAAGAACACCGAUGGCGAAGGCGGCUCACUGGCGCAUCACUGACCCUGAGGGACGAAAGCGUGGGUAGCAAGCAGGAUUAGAUACCCCAGUAGUC